UCUUCCUUAGCUCAGUUGGUAGAGCGUGCGACUGUUAAUCGCAAGGCCAGGAGUUCGACCCUCCUAGGGAGAG